rnacentral:tRNA from 2 species
GCCGAGAUAGCUCAGUGGCAGAGCAACUGUUUUGUAAACAGUAGGUCGUCGGUUCAAAUCCGACUCUCGGCUCCA